UAAAAGCCUAACUGCUUCGGCGGACAGGUUGCAUUGAUUAGACCGAAACCAAUGCGUCUUCGGACGGUUUUGUGGUGAAUCAUAAUCACUUGCGGAUCGCACGCUUCGGCGGCGACGUUUCAUUCAAGUUUCUGCCCUAUCAGCUUUGGAUGGUAGGGUAUUGGCCUACCAUGGCUUUAACGGGUAACGGGGAAUUGGGGUUCGAUUCCGGAGAGGGAGCCUGAGAG
rnacentral:rRNA from 1 species